GCUGGAGUCGUCUAGUGGCUAUGACAGCAGACUGUAAAUCUGCCGGGUUCUCCCAUCGUUGGUUCGAGUCCAACCUCCAGCACCA
rnacentral:tRNA from 1 species